rnacentral:lncRNA from 1 species
GUUAAAUAUAAUGCAAGAAGAUUCAAAUAACCUAUUGUUCAUAGGAACAUCAUGCACAAAGGAAAUAGAAGCUGAACAAACUUUGGUGUGGCCGGAUGGCAUAUGAAGUGAAAGAUGACAGGAUAUACUUCCUCUGCAAAAGAAAGCAACCAGUAAUACCCCAUCCAUGGAAUAACUUUAGGGGGUGUUUGGUUCGUAACCGAAAUCGAAAUGGGAAUGAAAAUCAGAAUGGCUUGAAAUCAGAAUCGGAAUGGCUAAAUCCUUUGAAGCAUUUGGUUCAUGACUGGAAUC